rnacentral:rRNA from 1 species
GUUAAACCGGAGGAAGGUGGGGAUGACGUCAAGUCAUCAUGGCCCUUACGGCCUGGGCUACACACGUGCUACAAUGGUCGGGUACAAAGGGUUAGCCAAGCCGCGAGGUGGAGCUAAUCCCAUAAAACCGAUCGUAGUCCGGAUCGCAGUCUGCAACUCGACUGCGUGAAGUCGGAAUCGCUAGUAAUCGUGAAUCAGAAUGUCACGGUGAAUACGUUCCCGGGCCUU